rnacentral:lncRNA from 1 species
AGCAUUAUUCUCUUGGAUUCACCUUUGCAAAGAAUUGAACAAAAUAGAAGCCAAAGAAGUAGACAGAAAAUAAAUCAAUCCACUCUGCUCAAAGAGCACACAGUCUAAUGAAGAUGAUGAACAUGAAGUCAACUUCGUAGUGUUGAGAGCACUGUUUCUCCAGAGCAGCACUUCUCAUCAGGGGCUGCACGUUAGACUUACCUGGGGAGUAUACAUAAGUUCAGAUGCCCAGGCUGUACUUCAGAAUCUCUGGAGCUCUAUGCAACUCAUUUUCAUCUAGCAUUACCUCUCCAAAACCUGAAUCUCCACAAGAAAGCCACACAGCAAUUAACCAGUGUUGCAAGAACUGCUUCUGUAAUAAAGGUGGGAAGACAAAUUGAUGCAACCCUCUUGAAAAGCAAUCUGGCAAUAUGAACCAAGAGCCAUGAAAAGGCUUAUGCUAUUAUAAUUAAAUGGCUGUAAUGUUGGCUGUAAAUAUGAAAUUUUCUUUCACACACCAAUGUUUUCAAGAAUGGCAUAUUCACAUGCAGUAUGUGAUGAAAGAAGCAGUAAAGGAUGCUAACAAAGCUAUUUCUUUGGACAAUCUGAACCUGACGGAGUCUUACUCUGUCGCCCAGGCAGGAGUGCAAUGGCACAAUCUUGGCUCACCACAACCUCCGCCUCCUGGGUUCAAGUGACUCUCCUGCCUGGCCAUAGAAGCAAACACAAACAUAGAGGAAUUGGCUUUGGGCAGAUGGAAGGACCUCAGAGAAAAGAAACAAAGGAAAGAAAACUGGAUGGAUAAAGAUGAGAAAAUUGAAGCCAACAGAAGUUAACUAACUUGCCUAAAAUAACACAGCUGUGGCAAAUUAGGACCAGAACCAAGGUCUCCUGACCUAAGUGCUACUCCCACCAUACUACAUGAUCUGCUGUUUAAAAUUUUGGUGAGCUUUAUAACAUAAAUAAAACUACAGAUGUGAAGGAC